UGGUGGAGUGAUUUGUCUGGUUAAUUCCGAUAACGAACGAGACCUUAACCUGCUAAAUAGCCAGGCCGGCUUUCGCUGGUCGCAGGCUUCUUAGAGGGACUGUCAGCGUCUAGCUGACGGAAGUUUGAGGCAAUAACA
rnacentral:rRNA from 1 species